GCACUUGAACGCAACAUGAAAGCAGCAAAGGGUGACCGGUUCCGACAGUCCUCCACUUACAGCACAGCUCCAGCCCCUCCUAUGACCCUCCUCUGUCAAAACAUCACGCUCAGGUUUCAGGGGCUGCUGUCUGUCCACCGUCCCUCACAGGACAGGAGACAGUCCAGAGUCAGAACUUUGGCUGAGAGCAGGUCAGCUAUGGACGGUGCGGGCAAAGCAGCGGGCGCAAACACCGACGGAGUAAAGGAGGAUCUGAAAGCAGCUGAAGCAGACUCCACUGAAGGUUGGGGGUCCUGCCUGAGGAGAAUACGGGGCUCCGUUCCGCAAAAGUACCGAAAUGAGCUGGCACAGCUCUUUAAACUGGCGGGACCGGUGGUCAUUUCGCAGCUGAUGAUCUUUAUGAUCAGUUUUGUCAGCAUGGUGUUCUGCGGCCACCUGGGAAAAACUGAACUAGCUGGCGUAUCAUUGUCGAUUGCGGUGAUUAACGUUACUGGUAUUUCCAUUGGCACCGGUUUGUCAUUAACCUGUGAUACGGUCAUAUCGCAGACCUACGGGAGCGGUAACCUGAAGAGAGUGGGUGUGAUUCUUCAGAGGGGCGUUCUGAUUCUGCUGCUGGCCUGUUUUCCCUGCUGGGCCGUCCUCAUCAACACUGAGCCUCUCCUGCUGGCUGUCAAACAGAGUCCAGAGGUUGCCAGACUCUCCCAGAUGUAUGUGAACAUAUUCAUGCCUGCUUUACCAGCUGCCUUUAUGUACCAGCUGCAGGGGAGGUAUCUCCAAAACCAGGGCAUUAUAUGGCCUCAAGUUGUAACUGGAGCAAUCGGAAAUGUCCUGAAUGCAAUAAUCAACUAUGUGUUCCUGUACCCUCUAGAUAUGGGAGUUGCUGGGUCUGCAGCAGCCAAUGCUAUCUCCCAGUAUGUACUGGCUGUGGUCCUAUAUGCCUACAUCUGCCUGAAGGGUCUCCAUAAGGCUACAUGGGGAGGUUGGUCACUGGACUGCCUCCAGGAGUGGGGAUCGUUCAUCCAGCUAGCCAUCCCCAGCAUGCUCAUGCUUUGUCUGGAGUGGUGGAUUUUUGAAGUGGGAGGAUUCCUGGCUGGUGUGAUCAGUGAGGUCGAGCUGGGAGCAAAUUCCAUCAUAUACGAGCUGGCUGUUAUUGCUUACAUGUUUCCUUUAGGAUUCGCUGCUGCUGCCAGUGUUCGUGUUGGGAAUGCUCUUGGUGCAGGGAACAUUGAGCAAGCCAAGCUGUCUUCCAAAGUCCCCAUUAUCUGUGCAUCCAUUAUCGCAUGUGUUAUUGCUGCAAUUCUUGCUGCCUGCAAAGAUGUCAUUGGAUACAUUUUCACCUCAGAUCAGGACAUUUUACUGAGGGUUUCUGAGGUCAUGAUCAUUUUUUGCUUCACACAUCUUUGUGAUGCUGUUGCGGGUGUUACUGGGGGUGUUCUCAGAGGCUCAGGGAAACAGCUGGUAGGUGCUCUGUGUAACCUGGUAGGCUACUACUUUAUUGGCUUCCCCAUCGGUGUUUCCCUGAUGUUUGCAGCCAAGAUGGGGAUUGUAGGGCUGUGGACAGGACUUACUGUUUGUGUGUUGAUGCAGUCUAUUUUCUUCAUCAUAUUUCUGUCCAAACUUAACUGGGAGAAGGCUGCAAAAGAGGCUCUUGUUAGGGCGGGAGUGCAGAAUAAAGAAGAAAAAGAGAUGACCAAGGUGGAAAAUCCAGCCUGUGACCAGAGCCCGGUUGAUGCAGCAACAUUUCGUCAUGAUGAGGAGGACCAGGCGUACCAGGAGGUUCAUCCUCCAGAGCAGAGUAAAUCCACCACCACCACAGUGGGGGAUGUCCUGUCGGUGAGGCAGCUGGUGUUCUGGCGCGGCCUGGCAGUGCUGGUCAUGUUUGUUAUCCUGGCUGCAGGAAUCGUCGCCUCACACUUCCUCACCCGCCUGUUGAAGUGAUCCCUCUUAAAAAUGUCAAGCUGGCAGUCAGAUUCAUGGCUGUUGGGUCUGAUGGCACAAAGGUUUUUACCUGAGGCUUUGUUUACCUUGCUGAGACCCGACUUCAUUCCAGAGGUUCUCUGAGCAAUCUGGAUAAUCAUCUACUGAGUAUUGGAUCUACCUUCUGGAAUUCUCUCCCAACCGUCUGUACUUUUCGGACACGGACCAAGCUGGCGGCUUCCCGCUUCCUUCAAUUCCAGGACCAAGGCAUAAGUGUACCCUGUUCUACCUUCCAUCCCAAGCAUCGGCACCUGUGCUUCAUCUGGUUUGCACCAAACCCGCAGCUGAGAAGACAACUGAGCAACCUCAUUUCGCAAGCUAAGACUCUGAAUCUCUCUACCCCUGGUGGUUCAAGCAACAGCAAUUUAGUAAGCCAUUUCUCAGAUCUCUUUAAUCAGUUGCUAUAUAUUGUCCGUUUAUUCACCAGUCCCUUCUCCUUUCCUCCCAUACCGUUGGUUUCCAGUUCUCGUCCCUGAUUACUUUGCUGACAAUAAAAACACUUUAAACUUUA